GCUCCCAUCGUCUAGUGGUUAGGACAUCAGGUUUUCAUCCUGAAAACAGGGGUUCAAUUCCCCUUGGGAGUACCA
rnacentral:tRNA from 3 species